rnacentral:tRNA from 1 species
GCUCCCGUAGCUCAGCUGGAUAGAGCAACGGUCUUCUAAACCGUAGGUCACAGGUUCGAGUCCUGUCGGGAGUG